UCCCAUCAUCACAAGAAGGAUGAAGAAUCUGAGGCAUAGAGUGGUUAAGAAACUUGCCAAGGGUCAAACAGCUAUUGAGUGCUGGAGCCAGGAUUUAAUUCCAGGCAGCCUGACUCCAGAGUUCUGAGUUCUCAGGUACUACAAUGACCCCUGGCUUCUUCCUCUGGUCAUGGACCUCUUUAAUGUGACACCUGCUGUAGCCAUUGGGCCAGCAGUCUCGAGACAAUACAGCCAAGAGACAGAAGGAGCCUGGAGAGCCGGGGUCCCUGUGCGCAGCUUUGGGAGUUGAAUGGACCAGCACUGAAGCCCACCCUAUCUGCUGACUUCUUGUUUUGUGUGAAACAUAUUUCCAUCUUGUUGAAGCCAUUUUGACUCAGAAAGUACCCUAAUAGAGACACUGCUGCUGCCAGAAGAAACAGAAGGAGUGCAGGAAGACCCACUGGGCUCCAGGUAAUCUGUUCUCACAAACCACUCAGCCCAGGUUAAGACACAACUCUACGGCCUUUCACCAUGGGGGCCAGUUUUGAAGGCAGGAAAAACUGGUAAGAGAUCGUUGGAAAGGAUGGAAGAAAUUGCAGAGAAAAAUAAAAUUAUUUCAUAAUUCUCCUUUAUUAGGCACAGGUAAACAUACAUACUCAUGGUAUCCAAAACCUAGAGUAUGG
rnacentral:lncRNA from 1 species